GACGAACGCUGGCGGCGUGGAUUAGGCAUGCAAGUCGAACGGUAUCAUCCUUUCGGGGGUGAGAGAGUGGCGAACUGGUGAGUAACACGUAGGUUAUCUACCCUCAAGACGGGGACAACCCAGGGAAACUUGGGCUAAUACCGGAUGUGAGCAACUUUUAGUUGUUUGAAAGGUGGCGUAAGCUGUCGCUUGGGGAUGAGCCUGCGUCCUAUUAGUUAGUUGGUGAGGUAACGGCUCACCUAGGCAAUGAUAGGUAGGCGGCCUUAACGGGUGGUCGCCCACACUGGGAUUGAGAUACGGCCCAGACUCCUACGGGAGGCAGCAGUCGAGAAUAGUCUACAAUGGUCGGAAGACUGAUAGUGCGACGCCGCGUGAACGAUGAAUCCCUUCGGGGUGUAAAGUUCUUUUAUAUGUGAGCAGUGCUUCUUAUAUUAACAGUAUGGGGAGAGAGAUAUUAGCAUAUGAAUAAGCAACGGCUAACUCCGUGCCAGCAGCCGCGGUAAAAUAC
rnacentral:rRNA from 1 species